rnacentral:rRNA from 1 species
UACGUAGGGGGCAAGCGUUAUCCGGAAUUACUGGGUGUAAAGGGAGCGUAGACGGUAAUGUAAGUCUGGAGUGAAAGGCGGGGGCCCAACCCCCGGACUGCUCUGGAAACUAUGUUACUAGAGUGCAGGAGAGGUAAGCGGAAUUCCUAGUGUAGCGGUGAAAUGCGUAGAUAUUAGGAGGAACACCAGUGGCGAAGGCGGCUUACUGGACUGUAACUGACGUUGAGGCUUGAAAGCGUGGGGAGCAAACAGG